UACGAAGGGGGCUAGCGUUGCUCGGAAUCACUGGGCGUAAAGGGUGCGUAGGCGGGUCUUUAAGUCAGGGGUGAAAUCCUGGAUCUCAACUCCAGAACUGCCUUUGAUACUGAAGAUCUUGAGUUCGGGAGAGGUCAGUGGAACUGCGAGUGUAGAGGUGAAAUUCGUAGAUAUUCGCAAGAACACCAGUGGCGAAGGCGGCUCACUGGCCCGAUACUGACGCUGAGGCACGAAAGCGUGGGGAGCAAACAGG
rnacentral:rRNA from 1 species